rnacentral:rRNA from 1 species
CCUUAGAGUUUGAUCCUGGCUCAGAUUGAACGCUGGCGGCAGGCCUAACACAUGCAAGUCGAGCGGUAACAGAGAGAAGCUUGCUUCUCUGCUGACGAGCGGCGGACGGGUGAGUAAGACUUGGGAACUUGCCUUUAGGCGGGGGACAACCACGGGAAACUGUGGCUAAUACCGCAUAAUGUCUUCGGACCAAAGUAGGGGAUCUUCGGACCUUACGCCUAAAGAUGGGCCCAAGCGAGAUUAGCUAGUUGGUGGGGUAAAGGCUCACCAAGGCGACGAUCUCUAGCUGUUCUGAGAGGAUGAUCAGCCACACUGGGACUGAGACACGGCCCAGACUCCUACGGGAGGCAGCAGUGGGGAAUAUUGCACAAUGGGGGAAACCCUGAUGCAGCCAUGCCGCGUGUGUGAAGAAGGCCUUCGGGUUGUAAAGCACUUUCAGUGGUGAGGAAGGC